GAACGCCUUGACCCGGCGGGAGCCGGGCGCGCGCUGCCCGGCCUCGCUCCCCCGCGCGGUCGCGGACACGGAGGGGCGGCGGUGAGGAAGCCGCGAGCCGCCAGGCGGAUUCCUGGGUGCAGAGCGCCGUGAGCAAGGGCCAGAGCGGCCGGGGCCCUGGCUGCCGGGGCGACCUGCCCGAGGAUUUUAUUUAUUCAUGAGAGACACACAGAGAGAGGCCGAGACACAGGCAGAAGGAGAAGCAGGCUCCAUGCAGGGAGCCCGACGUGGGACUCGAUCCCGGGACUCCACGAUCAUGCUCUGGGCCGAAGGCAGCCGCUAAACCGCUGAGCCACUCAGGGAUCCCCGAGUCACAGAGAGAGAGAGAGAGGCAGAGACACAGGCAGAGGGAGAAGCAGGCUCCAUGCACCGGGAGCCCGAUGUGGGAUUCGAUCCCGGGUCUCCAGGAUCGCGCCCUGGGCCAAAGGCAGGCGCCAAACCGUUGCGCCACCCAGGGAUCCCCCAAGAAACCUCAAUUUAAUGAACAACCCCUGCUGUCUGCUUUCCUGAUGCCUUGAGUAUAUGCCCACUUGCCCUGUGUCCCAUCUUUUCCUGCUGUCAACUUCGACAUAACAUGUGAUGUGUGUGAUGUCAAGGUCAUUAUGGACCGAGGAAGAUGGGCCUCAAAAAAUAGAGAACUUGAAAUUGGCAGAAGUCUCAUCAGACAUCUGUUAGCACCUGUUAAAAAGAAAACCACAGGCCCCAGAUGGUGUCAUUUAGACAACAGUUCCCAAAUUGGGGCUUAAUACCAGAUCUAAUUGUGGUUUCAACCUCCCCCAGAAAUGUAGUCUUAACUGGUCAGGGUUUUUUUCUGUCAGGGCCAACGAGUCUGCCACAAGGGCUCUCUCAGUCCCCCAAAGGGAGAUGAGGUCAUGUUCAGGGUAAGACCCCCUACUUCUCCCCCAAAGGGAAAUCCUUGCCUGGAACAAUCCUGUUUGUCUGCUAAUAACUUUCUUGCCCCCACCCUCCUUCUACAUAAACUUUCCAUUUUGUGCAAUUCCUCUUCUUGCUAGAUGGGAUGUUGCCCGACUCAGGAAUCAUUCAACAAGGCCAAUUCGAUCUGUAAAAUGUACCGGUUGGAUUUUUGUUAUUUAACACAACUUUGUGAUUCCAAGGGCUGAGGAGACAAGGGUGAAAACAGAAUAUGGUCCUGCUGUUCUAAUAAUUAACAGUGGGGACAGAUGCUGUGGAAAUGAACUAAUGUGAGUUUGCUCCUUGGUGAGUCUCAGGUACGGACUACACCGCGUGGAAUUGUCACACAAAGGAUACUUUAUCUACAGCAAAUCAGAGAUCAUGGAGAAUAACAUCCAAAGUUGUGACUCACUGAGUAAGGGUGAGUGGGUAUCUUUUAUUUGGGGUUAGGAUGAAGAUUCAGAAAGGGGUAGUUUGUCAUCAUAUGUAAAAAUGGGCAUAGAGUUGCACAGGUAUGCUUAGAAAACAUGCCUAUACACACAUCCUGUGUUAUGUGAAUGAAGCUUGUCCUCCUUUUUGGGUGGGGAUUUUAACAUUAUAAUGAGGUAGAGGUGCCUGGGAUACUCCCUGGCCCAUCACACAGGUAUGAGUCAGUGGUCGAGCUCAAAAUGAUCUAGGUCACUGGAGCUCUUCUUAAUUGCCUCUCAAAGAUGAAGUUAACAUUCCUGUGAAGAAGGGGGCUAGGAGGGGUCUUGCUGGUGACAGGUUUAACCUCAUUAACCCUAUGGGGCACAGUUUCAGAAAGAUUGCUAAAAAGUAUGAAACUGCUUAGGAAAACACUCCGGCAGUUGAUCAAACAGCUAAACAUAAAAUUCUCAUAUGACCCAGCAAUUCCACUCCUAGGUAUCUACCCAAGAGAACCGAAGACACAUGUCCACACAAAAGACCUGUACACAAAUGUGCAUAGCAGUUUUAUUCAUGGGAUCAAACAGUGGAAGUGGUCCAAGUGAUCACCAGCUGGAGAAUGGCUAAGCACAAUGUGGUCUAUCCAUACAAUGAUAUGAUGACCAAGCAAUAAACAGCAAUAAAAGCAAAUGAAGUGUGGCUACACACUGUACAGCAUGGAUGACUCUCGGGAAUAUUAUGUUAAGUGAAAGAGGAUCACAUACUGUAUGGAUUCCACUUAUAUUUAAAUGUCCAGAAUAGGCAAAUCCAUUGACACCAGAUUAGUAGUUCUUAAGGGCUGAGACGGGAGGGAGGAAUGCGGAGGGACUGCUAAUGGGUAGGGGACCUCUUUAUAGGGAGAUGAAAAUGUUCUGCAAGUGGAUAGUGGUGACAGCUGCUCAGCUUUGUGAAUAUGCUGAAAAUGUUUGCAUUUAUAAUAUUAUAAUUUUAUAAUAUGCUUCAAAUGAGUACAUUGUGUAGUGUCUGAAUUACAUCUCAGGAAAGCCGUUAUUAUUAUUAUUUUUUAAACUACUGAAAUUGCAGUUCACACAGGAUGCUGGGCAGGACAGAGGAGGGCCACCAACCCCCUUGAGGGUUCAUGGAGAACUUCCUGUGUUCUUUGCACCGAUAUUAGUAUUGCAUGUCUAUGUGGCUUCCUGGAGGCCGUGCUGGGUGUUAUUAGCCACAAAAACCUCUUUCAGUUUCAUAUAGGAGCCAUCCAAGUAUGAGCAUUCCCUGGUUUUGUUUGGCAAAUCCAAUCUGUUGUCACUUUUUAAGACUGUGUUUUCUAAAAAAAAAAAAAAAAAAAAAAAAAAA
rnacentral:lncRNA from 1 species